rnacentral:rRNA from 1 species
CUAAGGCUCCAGAGGAAGCCACGGCUAACUCUGUGCCAGCAGCCGCGGUAAUACAGAGGCGGCAAGCGUUGUUCGGAAUUAUUGGGCGUAAAGAGCACGUAGGCGGCCUUGCAAGUCAGUUGUGAAAGCCUUCCGCUUAACGGAGGAAUGCCAGCUGAUACUACAGGGCUUGAGUACGGGAGGGGAGAGUGGAACUUCUGGUGGAGCGGUGAAAUGCGUAGAUAUCAGAAGGAACGCCGGCGGCGAAAGCGACUCUCUGGCCCGAAACUGACGCUGAGUGUGCGAAAGCUAGGGGAGCAAACGGGAUUAGAUGCCCCGGUAGUCCUAGCCGUAAA